UCCUGUCUGUGUGUACUGUACUGCCACCAAUGUGGCAACAAACGAUGGUCUGCUUCAGGGGAAGAAAUCUAAAGAAGAGAAAAAAACGACUAUCACAAGAACAGACACUCGGACUGGAGCCGAGGCUCAGUGGCCGACUGUGCAGGCAGUUUCAAACCAAGCAUCUCUGGGCACCAUCUCUCUCGGCUGGAGCUGGAGAAGAAGGUAGAGCUGGAGAAGGAGGUAGAGCUGGAGAAGGAGGCCGAGCUGGAGAAGGAGGCAGAGCUGGAGAAGAAGGUAGAGCUGGAGAAGGAGGUAGAGCUGGAGAAGGAGGUAGAGCUGGAGGUCUGCUACUAUAUCAGAGCAAGAGGGAGUGUAUUUUGGGGAUGUUGAGUUAUCUAGACAUUGGCCAGUCUGGCGGACCUUAUUGUUAAACCCAUCCUUGUCAAGGGGUUAUAGUCAGGGCCUCAGCCACAUGCCAUGCGUUCUAGCUAAAAGUACGUCUGAAGUGGUAUCCUAUCCUCAAAUCCCUAUACAGUCUAGUGCACUACUUUUGACCAGAGUCGUCCACUAAAUAGGGAAUAGGGUGCCAUUGAGGCUCUUGCCAAAAGUAGUACACUUUAUAGCAUGCAACCUUACUGCUUAUUUUCCUCACUAUCUGACAAGCUCUCCUAAUCUGCAUCCUAAUUGGGAGCCUAUUUCCUAGAGCACUAUGUUUGACCAGAACCCUAAUGGGCCCUGGUCCAAAGUAGUGCACAAUAAAGGGAAUAGGGUGCCAUUUGGGAUGCAACCCUAGUAAAGCUGGAGAUGAUACAGCCAGGCAGAGCUGAGGGAUGGAUUGGGGCACCACGAUAACGUUACCACGCCAGUCAGUCCGACUGGGUUCUGUAUGUGGACUCCCCCUCUGGUUUGGCUGGCGGGUGGUAGACGCCACAAGAAUCUGCACGCCCCAGCACAGCUCCCCAUUAAUCUUAAAAAUGAUGUAUGUGGUUUUCCACUCUACGUCUGAGGUUUGCUUUCCCAUGCUUGGGUUCACAUACAGGCUCCUGUCCAGCUCCUUCACUUUACAUCAACAGGACUCCUAGAACUUCUUAGGGUCCAUCCCAAAUGACACCCUAGUCCCUACAUAGUGCACUAUUUUUGACCAUGGCCCAAAGGACGCACCCCAGAUGAACAGGCCUCCUAGAAUCUCUUAGUGCUC